GCUGAGAUGGCUCAGUCGGUAGAGCAGGAGACUUUUAAUCUCAGGGUCGUGGGUUCGAAUCCCCACGUUGGGCA